UUGUUAGUUUAUUUCAAACAUUCAUAAUCAAAAUCAAUAUUUAAUAGUUGGACAUUUUAGGAUGUUGGAAUAUAAGUUGAAAUUGUAUUUCAAAAUUUGUAUUGUAACUUUUGCUUUAUUUGGAGCUUUCAAUAUAGAUAGUUUCUCUGAAACAAGAUACUAGUCAAUUAAAAGAACAAAUCAACCAGAUUACUGGGGUUCAAAAAAUGUCAGGCUAACUGACCAAAUUAAUACAGAGACUAUAAUUACAUAUACACUAUACUGUACAUCCUUUGCUGAAGCCACUGGAGUUAUUAAUAACACUUACAUUGUUACCACUUUUUAAAAUUUAUAUCAUUGCUUCAACUAAAGUAGAGAUAGAGUCAUUCUCUCCCAUUUUCCUCUCAUUUGUGCCACCUUCAUACCAGAUUAAGUUGUCAUCUCCUUGGGUUUUUUUAAGAGCUGAAGAUUUUUUUAGAAAAGGAUUAGCUCUGAAAUUCUAGUACUGUGCAAGUCAAAGUCCUGUCGUGAAGACUGAUUUAUAUUUUGUUUUAGAUUUGUGAAAGCAAUUAGGGAUUGGGCUGGUGCAAGCUGACAGCAUAGAACCUUAUAAGAUACUAUUUCAGAAGCAAAUCAACCUGACUGUGGAACACCACAAAGUGUAAAUGAUAUUCUGGAUCCCUUCACAAUUCAUGGAUCUCUUAGGCACAUCACAUAGCUUUGGAAACUUGUGUUCUUUCUUGGGGCAUUGACUGUGAUUAGUAAUGAAUCCUUUCCUCCUGUUUUUUGGAAGUAAGGAAGAGCUGCUGCUUCCCUAUGUUACUGAAAUAAUAAAAAUCACUUUUUAUGGUACAUUCUUGGUGUUUUAAAGACUUAGGGAAUAACCUCUUAAACCAUUCAUUAGUUUUUUGACUGAUGAAAAUCUUUAGCACUUUAUUUAUUUAUUUAUUUAUAGAAAAGUGGGACCCAUGGUGCAGGGACUUCUGAUGGGGGAGGACUGACAAUGAGCAGGCUUCAAGCGUUUAUUAUAUAGGUUUUUAUAAUAAUGGGAUUCAUUGUGAGAAAGUUACUUUAAAACAGAGCCAAGGUCAAUUGUUAGAAC
rnacentral:lncRNA from 1 species